UACGUAGGCAGCGAGCGUUGUUCGGAGUUACUGGGCGUAAAGAGUGCGUAGGCGGUGCUCCAAGUCUGGUGUGAAAGCCCCCGGCUUAACCGGGGAGGGUCGUUGGGGACGGCGGGGCUUGAGGGCGGGAGAGGUCGGUGGAAUUCCCGGUGUAGUGGUGAAAUGCGUAGAGAUCGGGAGGAACACCUGUGGCGAAGGCGGCCGACUGGGCCGACCCUGACGCUGAGGCGCGAAGGCGUGGGGAGCGAACGGG
rnacentral:rRNA from 1 species